GAUUAACGCUGGCGGCGUGCCUAACACAUGCAAGUCGAACGCGGUAGCAAUACCGAGUGGCAGACGGGUGAGUAACACGUGAUCAACCUACCGGAGAGUGGGGGAUAACUCGCUGAAAGGUGAGCUAAUACCGCAUAGGUCGGCGUCGGCAUCGACGCGUGACGAAAGAAGUGGUUCGCUCUUCGACGGGAUCGCGCCCGAUUAGUUAGUUGGUGGGGUAAAGGCCUACCAAGACAUCGAUCGGUAGCUGGUUUGAGAGAGCGACCAGCCACACUGGAACUGAGAUACGGUCCAGACUCCUACGGGAGGCAGCAGUGAGGAAUUUUCCGCAAUGGACGAAAGUCUGACGGAGCGACGCCGCGUGUGGGAAGAAGGCCCUCGGGUCGUAAACCGCUGUCGAAGGGGACGAUUUUGACGGUACCCUUGGAGGAAGCCCCGGCUAACUACGUGCCAGCAGCCGCGGUAAGACGUAGGGGGCGAGCGUUAUUCGGAAUCAUUGGGCGUAAAGCGCUCGUAGGCGGCUCCGCAAGUCCGUGAAGAAAGACUUGGGCUCAACCCAGGGAACGGCACGGAUACUGCGG
rnacentral:rRNA from 1 species